rnacentral:rRNA from 1 species
CCUACGGGUGGCAGCAGUAAGGGAUAUUGGUCAAUGGGGGAAACCCUGAACCAGCAACGCCGCGUGAGGGAAGACGGUUUUCGGAUUGUAAACCUCUGUUCUCUGUGAAGAUGAUGACGGUAGCAGAGGAGGAAGCUCCGGCUAACUACGUGCCAGCAGCCGGGGGAAUACGUAGGGAGCGAGCGUUGUCCGGAUUUACUGGGUGUAAAGGGUGCGUAGGCGGCUUGGCAAGUCAGUAGUGAAAUGCAUGGGCGUAACCCAGGAACGGCUGGUGAAACUGUCGAUCUUGAGUGAGGUAGAGGUAGGCGGAAUGCGCGGUGUAGCGGGGAAAUGAAUAGAGAGCGGGAGGAA